rnacentral:rRNA from 1 species
GACGAACGCUGGCGGCGUGCUUAACACAUGCAAGUCGAGCGGAGCGGCGAACGGGUGAGUAACGCGUGAGUAAUUGCCCCCCUCUCUGGGAUAACAGUUGGAAACGGCUGCUAAUACCGGCUAGUGGGGGAUGGCUCGCGUCCUAUCAGCUUGUUGGUGGGGUAGUGGCCUACCAAGGCGACGACGGGUAGCCGGCCUGGGAGGGGGACCGGCCACAUGGGGCUGCGAUACGGCCCAAACGCCUACGGGAGGCAGCAGUGGGGAAUAUUGCGCAAUGGUGGAAACCCUGAGGCAGAAACGCCGCGUUCGGGAUGACGGCCUUCGGGUGGUAAACCGCUUUCAGCCAUUACGCGGUAGUGGCAGAAGAAGCACCGGCUAACUACGUGCCAGCAGCCGCGGUAAUUC